GUAUAUCUUUGUGGAUGUUGUUCAGCACCAAGGACAGGUAUACUUGUGUGGUGUUCAGCACCAAGGACAGGUAUGUUUGUGU
rnacentral:pre_miRNA from 1 species